ensembl:lncRNA
UAGGUCAGAGCUAUAGAGAGAGAGAGUUGCGACACUUCCAUUGGACUCCGUUGUAGCGCCUACUUCCGGGGUAUGGAGCCUCGAAUAGUUCCAAACAACCAUUUUACGGCGUAGGAGACCGUUCAUUUCCAUUGCUGGCCGCCGAGUAACUUCUGAGGGUGAUGUUCAGCACAUGAAGCCCUACAGAUGCCGCCAAUUCAACAAUGCUGAUUAUGAUGGGCGUUGCCUUAUUAGGUCCUCCACAGUCGCCCCAUCAGUCCCUGGCAGUCUGGUCCCUGGAGCAGCUGGCCCUGGCAAAAGUUAUUCCUUCACUGUUGACCCCUGACUGACUGGCCCUCGGCACACAAAUCCCUGGAUCACCUGCCACUGGAUCACCUGCCACUGGAUCACCUGCCCCUGAUUCACCUGCCCCUGGCAAUGUGGCCUCUUGAUUGCUCUCUCUGUCUCCUGUGAUGUCCUUUUCAACGCUCUUGAAAUCCACCUAAAUUUCUCCCUCAAUCUCUGUAACAAUUACAAGGUAAUCCGUGAUAACCCUUCUCGGACCGAUUGGAGCAUCCAAAUGCUGCACAGCCAACCAUGGUAUGACCAUUGAUCUAUAAAAUGUUAGUUGUAACCAUUGAACCAUGACACCAUUGAAGAUCACAGAGCGGGUAACAACUGUUCCUCAACCACUUAUGCCCUGACUUUUGAGAAUAGGUUAGAGGUCAGAGUUCAUGACCAAACGAGGAUCCUCCCUCCUAAACCCAUUUUGAAUUUCCUAGGGCUAUUCUAAGUAUUGUAAUGGCAUAAAGUAUAGUAUAUUUGCAAUGUUAUAUGUUAAUGGUUUGCCCUAAGUAUAUAGUGUUCCCUGCUGUGUCCAUUGUUGAAUCUGUUCACACAAUCGCAAUCACUUGUUCUUGUCACACUAAUUGUUUAAUAAAAAAAAAUACAAUUUCAUUCAUCCAAG